GUAGUCAUCAUGAAAGUAGCAAUUUUAAAAUGAUUUGUUGCUAAUAUCAAUAUCACGGCGCCGACAAUAUAAAAUUGAGUAUCGUCGGCGACAUACCAACUCCAAAUCAUGCACUGAAAAAAAAAAAUAUGUAUGCCUGCAAACAUUUGUGUUGCUACAUAAUUUUCAUUACCAAAGAUUACGACAUCUAUGGGAGAAAAGACUGAGAACCUAAUAGUUUAACAAAACUUUCUAUUCGAGAAGAAAGUAAUAUUAUCUAAUUAUCUAAUUAAUCAUCGUUAUGAAAAAUUUAAACUUCGAAAAUUCAACUGAACACGAUUAUUUUGCUAAUAAGGAGUGGUAUGUAAGUAGCCUCGACUCGAUCAUAAAUGGUAGAAGUAAAGGCCGAAAGAAUGAACAAAGAAGUUUGUAACGAUCUUGCGAAAAGUGGCAUUGACCGAGGAUAGUAAAACAUUGAAAGCGAUUCGUUGUCGGGCCCAGCCUGUAUUGGUUGUAGAAGUCGUCACGAGAUUGUUCUUUGUGUCGUGAAAAGUGAAAUUUCGCGAUGAAAGUAGGCAAAGCAAGAGGAACUGCCAAGAGGAAGGUAAAAGAUAUGUUUUAGCAAGGACGUUCCUGGCAAGCUUUUGCCAACCAGCGACGACCUAUCACCUUUCGAUUUCCUUCCUGAUGAAAGUGAAUUAAGUCAUUUGGACUUUGACCAAGAUAAUUUUAAUCAUUUAGAUUUUUUUUUAGAAAAAAAAAUCCUGACUAUCUAGAGAACGAAUCAUUCAACGAUAUUAAUUUAUUGAUAUAUUAAAUUUUUUUUUUCUCUUCUUUUAUAUUUGUUCCUCUCCCGCAUCUGAUCUCGAAAUGUUGUUCUAUUUAUGAUCAAUGAAAUCACGUGCCGUAUUAAUACCAAGUAUUACCUAGAUCUGGCAAUUUCAUCUCGCCAUAACUCGGACACUUUCUAUUCGCAUAAUAAAAUACGCAUAAUCAAUUUUUGCACGCAUAAAUACCGUUCUCCCUAUAUACGAAAGAAGAGAAAAAUGUUUGCAUACGAUUAGUUCCAAAUGAAUAAUUAAUUAUUAGCUAUUUUUACAACGAUUUAAUUACCGAAGAUAUGACUUUUUUUUAACAUAAAUUUGAUUAAUUCAACAUACCUUUUGA